rnacentral:rRNA from 1 species
AUUGAACGCUGGCGGCAGGCCUAACACAUGCAAGUCGAACGAGUGGCGGACGGGUGAGUAAUGUCUGGGAAACUGCCUGCUGGAGGGGGAUCACUACUGGAAACGGUAGCUAAUACCGCAUACCAUCGGAUGUGCCCAGAUGGGAUUAGCUAGUAGGUGGGGUAAAGGCUCACCUAGGCGACGAUCCCUAGCUGGUCUGAGAGGAUGAACAGCGACACUGGAACUGAGAGCCGGUGCAGAGUCCUACGGGAGGCAGGAGUGGGGAAUAUGGCACAAGGGGCGCAAGCCUGAUACAGCCAUGCCGCGUGUAGGAAGAAGGCCUUCGGGUUGUAAAGGACUUUCAGCGGGGAGGCGGUACCCGCAGAAGAAGCACAGGCUAACUCCGUGCCAGCCGCCGCGGUAAUAC